rnacentral:rRNA from 2 species
UACGGGGGGGGCAAGCGUUGUUCGGAAUUACUGGGCGUAAAGGGCGCGUAGGCGGUUGGAUAAGUCAGCUGUGAAAACCACGAGCUCAACUUGUGGCCUGCAGUUGAGACUGUCUGGCUAGAGUGUGGGAGAGGGAAGUGGAAUUCCUGGUGUAGCGGUGAAAUGCGUAGAUAUCAGGAGGAACACCGGUGGCGAAGGCGGCUUCCUGGACCACAACUGACGCUGAGGCGCGAAAGCUAGGGGAGCAAACAGG